rnacentral:rRNA from 1 species
GAACGCUGGCGGUAUGCUUAACACAUGCAAGUCGAACGGUAACAGGCCCAGCUUGCUGGGCGCUGACGAGUGGCGGACGGGUGAGUAACGCGUAGGAAUCACCUUGUAUGGGGGAGUAACCUGGGGAAACUCAGGCUAAUACCGCAUAAGCUUAAGAGAGAAAGCGGGGGACCUUCGGGCCUCGUGCUAUAAGAUGAGCCUGCGUCAGAUUAGCUUGUUGGUGGGGUAAAGGCCCACCAAGGCGAUGAUCUGUAGCUGGUUCUGAGAGGAAGAUCAGCCACACUGGGACUGAGACACGGCCCAGACUCCUACGGGAGGCAGCAGUGGGGAAUAUUGGACAAUGGGCGCAAGCCUGAUCCAGCAAUACCGCGUGUGUGAAGAAGGCCUGCGGGUUGUAAAGCACUUUCAGUGGGGAGGAAGGCCUUAAGUUUAAUAGACUUGAGGAUUGACGUUACCCACAGAAGAAGCACCGGCUAACUCUGUG